CCCACGCCCAGCAGUGGGCGUUCGAAAAACGAAUCCACAGCGGGUUAUUAAAUGAUUGACUGUGACAUUGGGGGAGCAAAAUAUUAUGUACGCAGGUAAUUAAUUAUAAUGUCAUAGAUAAUUCAGUUAAUUGAUAUUCGAAAAAUAAGUCUAUUGCAAUUUUUAUGGAAACUAUACAAAGACGUGUUUCAAAUUUUUUAAUAUAAUUUUUAUGCAAGUCAGAACCGAGAAUGUCAAAUGUAAAGUUGGAACGGUUUUAGAAGGCCAAGACCACUAUUGGCUGAUUAUUUGAAGUGUGUCAUUGGCCGAUUAUGAGUGUGUUUGGAUGUUUUGAUGCUCAUUCGCAAAAAAUAGCUACAGGACUGAUUUCCAUAAAAUUUGCCAUAAAAGUACACCUGGAAUAGCGUACACAUCCGUCAACAAAUAGCACAUCAAGUUAACCUGCAUGAAACUCUAUGGCGCGGAAAUAGCGACGAGUUUGCAAUGAAUUUGGCAUUUCCACGCUGUAUAGCGAGACUUCUCGCUGUCAGCAAGGAAGGACAAGUUUUAGAAACAAUUUAGCUUCGGGGCCCCACGGACCUAAGGUCUCCACUACUAUCGGCACGAAAAAUGAAAUUAUUUAAAAUUUCUUUAUAGGUAUAUGGUCGUCCAAAUGAAAAGGGGUCUUUUCCUAGCUUACACACACACACAACUCCACACACACAAUACAGUUCUUGAUUAUUAUGUGCCCAUAAGGAUCAUAACCCGAGGAGGAGAUUCGCAGCAUUAGGUAUCUUCUUACAAUAAUAAAA